GAAUUCGCCCUUAGAGUUUGAUCCUGGCUCAGGACGAACGCUGGCGGCGCGCCUAACACAUGCAAGUCGAACGAGCGAGAGAGAGCUUGCUUUCUCGAGCGAGUGGCGAACGGGUGAGUAACGCGUGAGGAACCUGCCUCAAAGAGGGGGACAACAGUUGGAAACGACUGCUAAUACCGCAUAAGCCCACGGGUCGGCAUCGACCAGAGGGAAAAGGAGCAAUCCGCUUUGAGAUGGCCUCGCGUCCGAUUAGCUAGUUGGUGAGGUAACGGCCCACCAAGGCGACGAUCGGUAGCCGGACUGAGAGGUUGAACGGCCACAUUGGGACUGAGACACGGCCCAGACUCCUACGGGAGGCAGCAGUGGGGAAUAUUGCACAAUGGGGGAAACCCUGAUGCAGCGACGCCGCGUGGAGGAAGAAGGUCUUCGGAUUGUAAACUCCUGUUGUUGAGGAAGAUAAUGACGGUACUCAACAAGGAAGUGACGGCUAACUACGUGCCAGCAGCCGCGGUAAAACGUAGGUCACAAGCGUUGUCCGGAAUUACUGGGUGUAAAGGGAGCGCAGGCGGGAAGACAAGUUGGAAGUGAAAUCCAUGGGCUCAACCCAUGAACUGCUUUCAAAACUGUUUUUCUUGAGUAGUGCAGAGGUAGGCGGAAUUCCCCGGUGUAGCGGUGGAAUGCGUAGAUAUCGGGAGGAACACCAGUGGCGAAGGCGGCCUACUGGGCACCAACUGACGCUGAGGCUCGAAAGUGUGGGUAGCAAACAGGAUUAGAUACCCUGGUAGUCCACACCGUAAACGAUGAUUACUAGGUGUUGGAGGAUUGACCCCUUCAGUGCCGCAGUUAACACAAUAAGUAAUCCACCUGGGGAGUACGACCGCAAGGUUGAAACUCAAAGGAAUUGACGGGGGCCCGCACAAGCAGUGGAGUAUGUGGUUUAAUUCGACGCAACGCGAAGAACCUUACCAAGUCUUGACAUCCCUUGACGAUGCUGGAAACAGUAUUUCUCUUCGGAGCAAGGAGACAGGUGGUGCAUGGUUGUCGUCAGCUCGUGUCGUGAGAUGUUGGGUUAAGUCCCGCAACGAGCGCAACCCUUAUGGUCAGUUACUACGCAAGAGGACUCUGGCCAGACUGCCGUUGACAAAACGGAGGAAGGUGGGGAUGACGUCAAAUCAUCAUGCCCUUUAUGACUUGGGCUACACACGUACUACAAUGGCGUUAAACAAAGAGAAGCAAGACCGCGAGGUGGAGCAAAACUCAGAAACAACGUCCCAGUUCGGACUGCAGGCUGCAACUCGCCUGCACGAAGUCGGAAUUGCUAGUAAUCGUGGAUCAGCAUGCCACGGUGAAUACGUUCCCGGGCCUUGCACACACCGCCCGUCA
rnacentral:rRNA from 1 species